rnacentral:lncRNA from 1 species
GAGUAUGAGCAAAUGAACAGUGUAUGCUUACUUGCUAGGAGUGUAUGUGGGGUAUUUAUAGGAGGGUAGAGGACAGAGCGGAGAGCUCAUGCUGGUGGGACCCAUUCUCUGGUCAUUACGGCUCUGUCCCGUGUCAGGAGGCCUGACUCUGACACUGUAGCCGCCUGAGUGUGAUGACGGAGAGUAUUGAGCAGGUUCCAUUAAGAGUCUCCAGUGCUUUUCAGAUAAAGCACUGGACCUGGGUGAUGUCAGGGGCCGUGACCUCAUCAGCGUGCGGCCGAAGUGGGUGGUGCCGAGGUCACCUACACGGUAGGCUAGAGAAGUGGCCGAGCUCAGGGGUUAUGCCCAAGAUACGGAUGAGCUCUGAUAAGGGACGAGGUGAGUUCACCUCGGACACGCAGGAUGGCCGAGGUGAGCAUCCUCAGUAUGCUUACUUGCUAGGAGUGUAUGUGGGGUAUUUAUAGGAGGGUAGAGGACAGAGCGGAGAGCUCAUGCUGGUGGGACCCAUUCUCUGGUCAUUACGGCUCUGUCCCGUGUCAGGAGGCCUGACUCUGACACUGUAGCCGCCUGAGUGUGAUGACGGAGAGUAUUGAGCAGGUUCCAUUAAGAGUCUCCAGUGCUUUUCAGAUAAAGCACUGGACCUGGGUG